AUUGAACGCUGGCGGCAGGCCCAACACAUGCAAGUCGGACGGUAGCACAGAGGAGCUUGCUCCUUGGGUGACGAGUGGCGGACGGGUGAGUAAUGUCUGGGGAUCUGCCCGAUAGAGGGGGAUAACCACUGGAAACGGUGGCUAAUACCGCAUACGUCGCAAGACCAAAGAGGGGGACCUUCGGGCCUCUCACUAUCGGAUGAACCCAGAUGGGAUUAGCUAGUAGGCGGGGUAAUGGCCCACCUAGGCGACGAUCCCUAGCUGGUCUGAGAGGAUGACCCGCCACACUGGAACUGAGACACGGUCCAGACUCCUACGGGAGGCAGCAGUGGGGAAUAUUGCACAAUGGGCGCAAGCCUGAUGCAGCCAUGCCGCGUGUAUGAAGAAGGCCUUCGGGUUGUAAAGUACUUUCAGCGGGGAGGAAGGCGGUGAGGUUAAUAACCUCGCCGAUUGACGUUACCCGCAGAAGAAGCACCGGCUAACUCCGCGCCAGCCGCCGCAGUAA
rnacentral:rRNA from 1 species